GACGAACGCUGGCGGCAUGCUUAACACGUGCAAGUCGAACGGAAAGGCCCUGCUUUUGUGGGGUGCUCGAGUGGCGAACGGGUGAGUAACACGUGAGUAACCUGCCCUUGACUUUGGGAUAACUUCAGGAAACUGGGGCUAAUACCGGAUAGGAGCUCCUGCUGCAUGGUGGGGGUUGGAAAGUUUCGGCGGUUGGGGAUGGACUCGCGGCUUAUCAGCUUGUUGGUGGGGUAGUGGCUUACCAAGGCUUUGACGGGUAGCCGGCCUGAGAGGGUGACCGGCCACAUUGGGACUGAGAUACGGCCCAGACUCCUACGGGAGGCAGCAGUGGGGAAUAUUGCACAAUGGGCGGAAGCCUGAUGCAGCAACGCCGCGUGCGGGAUGACGGCCUUCGGGUUGUAAACCGCUUUCGCCUGUGACGAAGCGUGAGUGACGGUAAUGGGUAAAGAAGCACCGGCUAACUACGUG
rnacentral:rRNA from 1 species